rnacentral:lncRNA from 1 species
CACUGGUGGUCUCAGCUGUUCCAUACUAAUGAAAAAAUGUGAUCUCAAGCAACAACAUUAAGAGAUUUACCUGAAGCACAGCGGCAUAUCCUUUCCUGCCGAUCCUUGAGGUCAUCCUGGAAGAGGGUGACAGAUGGAUUGCUUUGGCACUUCUAGAAGUUCUCCCAACCAAUCAGGAUUUGGUGUUACCCCCUCAUCUUGUUAAGCAGCAGUGGGAUGAUAUCAGAUGCACAUCAGGAAAAAGAUAAUUAAGGCAGAUAAGCCUUGGAGAAUCUAGCAACAGUUGAAGAAACUGAAGAUAUUUAAUGUGGA